rnacentral:lncRNA from 1 species
UGGAGAGCUUGAUCCAAAGUCACAAUCAGGUAAGCUUAUGCAACUGAAUAGUGACCUCAGCCAAAAGAAAUAUUCCUAUGGGAAUACACUGGAUUGAAGAGUACAAUUACUCCCCAAGUCUCUUCAGUUGUCCAAAAGCUGGACUGAAAUUGAUACACAUGCCUGACUACAAUACUGCAUCUGUUGAAAGCAGCACAUCUGAUAUCCUCUUGUUUGCAAAAUAAGAAACAAAUCCUUUCUUGUGUUAAGACUUGUAUUUCUUUUCUGUUGAAUGUUUGCCCCGAAUAAAAUGCUGAUGUAAAAUAUAAGUUUUAAAAGU